AAUGUUUUUAUGUUUUGUUUGAUUUAUUUUUAUUAUUCUUUUGUCUCAUUUCAUUUUGACAGUUUCCCAACGUAGGCCAGGCUGGCCUUGAAUUCGUGAUAAUCUUUCUGCUUCAGCUUCCCCAUCGUGAAGAAUACAGGCGCAAAUCGCAGUGGAGGCCAGGCUAGACUAAGUGAAAGACUGAGCCUUCUUUAAGGAGCAAGGAUUUAGGAAGCACCAAAUCUAAGGGGCUAAUCUGAGGGUGUCACCUAGCCCAGGCUGGCCUCAACAUUUUUAGCAGCAGAUAUGACUCAGCCCUUAUCAGCCUCCAUGAGUUUUCCCUGAGCUCCAGAGCGCUCUGCCCACUCAGAGGAUAUGGACCCUGAGACUCAGUGCAGCUCCCGAGAUCUGCGAAGGGCCCAUGGAGUCUCUAAAAAGCAGCCUUCCUUUUUCACAGCUGCAUCGUAUUGAGCCAACCCUGGUGUUUCCCAAGUGGGAAAAACUCACACACAAGGAUGUCCCCCCGGAGCAGCUGGUGGCGAGGCUUCACUUGUGAAGAGACUGUGUGUUUGUGUGUGUGUGUGUGUGGGGGGGGUGAUGCAGUGAGGUGGGAUUUAAGGAUUCAGUUAGAUGUGACAGUUGCACAAGCUCAGAGCCACCAGGGAGGGAGGGAGGGAGAGAGGGA
rnacentral:lncRNA from 1 species